GGAUGGAUGCCAGAGCGGUCGAAUGGGCACGCCUGGAAAGCGUGUGUGCGAGCAAUCGUACCGAGGGUUCGAAUCCCUCUCCAUCCGCCA
rnacentral:tRNA from 1 species